rnacentral:rRNA from 1 species
UACGAAGGGGGCUAGCGUUGCUCGGAAUUACUGGGCGUAAAGCGCGUGUAGGCGGAUCGUUAAGUCAGAGGUGAAAGCCCGGGGCUCAACCCCGGAACUGCCUUUGAUACUGGCGGUCUUGAGCAUGACAGAGGCAAGUGGAAUUCCGAGUGUAGAGGUGAAAUUCGUAGAUAUUCGGAGGAACACCAGUGGCGAAGGCGACUUGCUGGGUCAUUGCUGACGCUGAGACGCGAAAGCGUGGGGAGCAAACAGG